ensembl:lncRNA
UGCAAAUUCUGUAAGAAGAAAAAAUGAGAAAAGGAAUAUGGAAAAGAAAGGGCAGAUGAACCAAGAGCAGAAAAGUUUUGCUAUGGAGCACAUGAAGAUAUUAACUAGAAUCUCUUCCAAGAAUUCAAAGGAUGUAAUGAAAAAGUGCGCUAUAUUUCUCUAUAAAAUGUAUGGUUACUGCAUCUGAAGUAGAGAAAAAUGUUUUUCCUACCAGGUAUGAUGGCUCAUGCCUGUAAUCUCAGAACUUUGGGAGCCAAGGUAGUUGGAUCACCUGAAGUCAGGAGUUCAAGACCAGCCUGGCCAACAUGUGUUUGCCUGACGUGUUUGGAGAUGGUUGACAUCAACUUUGUGACUGAAGAAGAACACUUCUGCCACUUAAUGACUGGAAAAUGCCUCUGCCCCUGUAGGAGAACUGGAGCCAGAUGUGAUGCUGAAUGCAGGCCGGGCCUGUAUGGACCUAACUGCGCUCUCAACCGUCAAUGUGGUCACAAAGCUCACUACAGCCCUCUCAAUGGGAGCUGCUCUUGCCUUUUUAAGACAAUGGGCCCAACCUGUGAGGAAAGUAGUUCAGAUGAUCCUCAAUAACCAAACACUAACAACUUUUCAGUUGAGUCUUGUUCUGUUGCCCAGGCUGGAGUGCAGUGGCACAACCUCAGCUCACUGCAACCUCCACUCUGGCGUUCAAGCUAUUCUCCUGCCUCAGCCUCCUGAGUAGCUGGGAUUACAGGUGUGCACCACCACACCCACUUAAUUUUUGUAUUUUUAGUAGAGAUGGGGUUUCACCAUAUUAGUCAGACUGGUCUUGAACUCCUGACCGCAAGUGAUCCAUCUGCCUCAGUUUCCAAAGGACUGGGAUUAUAGGCAGGAGCCACCAUGCCUGGUGGCAAUCUUUGUCUUUUUGUGACUGGCUUAUUUCACUUAGCAUGAUGUUCUCAAAUUUUAUCUGUGUUAUAGCAUGUGUCAGAAUUUCCCUUAUUUUUGAAGCUGAAUAAUAUCCCAUUGUAUGUAUGGGCCACAGGUUGUUUCUCCAUUUAUCCAUUGACGGACACUUGGAUUGCUUCCACCUUUUCACUAUUGUGAAUAAUGCUACUAAGAACAUGAAGUACAAGCAUCUCGUAGAGACCCUGUUUCUAAUUCUUUUGAGAGUCUACCCAUAAGUGGAAUCACAAUUUUUUGAAGAACUGCUUUACUAUUCUCUAUAGUGGCCCCAAAAUUUUACAUUCCCACCAACAAUACACAAAGGUUGCAAUUUCCCCAGUGAUUUUGAAAAAAAUCUCACCAGUGAUUUUGAAAAAAAUAUUCGGCAUCCUACAUUCUAAUGGGUGUGAGGUGGUUCUCUCUUUUUUGAAAUACACGUUGCACCAAGGACGGCCUCUUGUAUUGACAAAUGAUUAUGCAGAAGAUAAGGAACAAUUCAAUACUAACCCAAUUAUCCUGGGGAAUAGCUGGCCAGUUCACGAAAGUCUCUUCAGGGCUUCUGGGCCCAAUCUGUUUGGUAAGUUUCUUUCAUUCUUCCCACUUCUCUCUCCAUUCCUUCCAUUUGUUAACAGUUUCUUUAAACCUGGAGAGAACGAAAUGAGUACACCUCUUAGCUGCACUUGCUUUCUCUCAUGAUGAGUCUGCUAAUCAUUUUCAAAAGACCUUAAGUCUUUCUGUGUUACUAAAUUCAAAAUGUAGGUUUUAGAUUUUUCUUUUUAAAAAAAAGAAUAAUUAAAGAGGAAACUCAAGCCACCUCCUAGAAAUUUGCAAACAAGAUGACUAAAACUCUUACUAAGGAAACAUUCAGAAUCUUUCAAAGCACUAGUAUUGUUGGUUUUGACUUGAGAUAACCUGAAUUUUGAAAGCUGGGAACCAGUCCUUGGCGCUCACCUUUCAAACCCUUCACAGCCAAGACUCAGACGCCUAAAUGUCUCCUGGGCAUAUUUGCAUCCUGACAGUCUCACUCUGGGGGUUAGAGAGGUGCACAUUUCCUCACUUUUGGAAUAUUCCAUUUUGGCUUUUCUUCAGCUGUGCCCAAACCAGGAAGUCUGAGACUCUCAGCUAAGUGCGGGCUAAGCAGCCAGCCCUCCUGGAUUCCCAGGCAGUCAGCUGGGUUCCUCCAAGUAAGGUUCUUAAACUUUCUGGGCUUCAGUUUUCCUCAUCUGUAAAACAGGAAUAAGAAUGCCAGCUUGUAGGCUAUUGUGAAGUUAGUUGUGGUAAUGGAUAUACACAUUUCCAGCAUGACAUUAACAUAACAGGCAGUUUAAAAAUGAGUAAAUCAUUUUGCUUUAUUCUUUACAGAAAUUAAUACUGGUAGAUGGUCAUUAUCUAAAAGUGAAAUUAUAAAUGUGCCUAUUCUUUGAAUGUAUUUUCUUGCCUUUUCUUGAAUUUUUUUGAGAGCCCUCAAAAAUUAUACUGAAAAUAAAAAUGUCAAGAGAUCUAAUAUACACAUGGUGACUAUAAUUAAUAACAAUAUAUUGUAGACUUGAAAAUUGUUAAGAGGAAAGAUUAUACAUGCUCUCCUCACACACAUACAAAAAAUGUGAGCUAAUGCAUAUAUUAAUUAGCUUUUUUAGCCAUUCCACAAUGUACACAUAUAUCAAAAUAUCAUGUUAUAUACCACAAAUAUGCACAAUUUUUAUUUGUCAGUUAAAAUAACUGGGCUGGGAGCACUGGCUCAUGCUGAGGCAGGGGAACCACUGGAGGCCAGGAGUUUGAGACCAGCCUGGCCAACAUAGUGAAAAAACGUCUGUACUCAAAAUACAAAAAAUAUUAGCUUGUAUGGUGGUGCGUGCCUGUAAUCCCAGCUACUCCAGAGGCUGAGAUGAGAGAAUCCCUUAUACCCGAGAGGCAGAGGUUGCAGUGAGCUGAGAUUGUACCACUGUGCUCCAGCCUGGGUGACAGGUUGUCAAAAAAAAAGCGGGGGGAGGAAGAAGGAAGGAAGGAAGGAAGGGAGGGAGGGAGGGAGGGAGGGAGGGAGGGAGGGAGGAAGGAAGGAAGGAAGGAAGGAAGGAAGGAAGGAAGGAAGGAAGGAAGGAAGGAACUAAAGAAGAAAGACAAUUCUGGGCAUCUCAUAUUUUUUAAAAGUUCAGCUUGUGUUAUUUUUUAAACCUACAUUUUUUUAAGAAAUAUCUAACUUUUCCCUAAACUUCCAUAUCCAGUUUUUCUAAGUUUAGAUUUCUGUUGUAUCAUAAAUUCUUCCUCUUUAGUGUGUAUACACACAAUUUUCUAUUCCUUUAACUGUUACCAUGAACAUUAUAAAAUGCUUUGUAU